rnacentral:rRNA from 1 species
GACGAACGCUGGCGGCGUGCCUAACACAUGCAAGUCGCACGGGACCGGGGGCAACUCCGGUUCAGUGGCAGACGGGUGCGUAACACGUGAGGAACCUGUCCAACGGCGGGGAUAGCCGGCCUAACGGCCGGGUAAUACCGCGUACGAUCGUCCGGGGGCAUCCCUGGGCGAUGAAAGCAGCCGCAAGGUUGCGCCGAUGGAGGGCCUCGCGGCCUAUCAGCUAGUUGGCGGGUAACGGCCCACCAAGGCGACGACGGGUAGCUGGUCUGAGAGGAUGGCCAGCCACAUUGGGACUGAGACACGGCCCAGACUCCUACGGGAGGCAGCAGUGGGGAAUAUUGCGCAAUGGCCGCAAGGCUGACGCAGCGACGCCGCGUGU